AACUGUAACCAUGGGUGCAUUACUAACGCCUCACUCCUACACAGGCCAGAUCUUACUCAGCAAACACGGUAUUCACACAGGCAGCUCACUCAACAAAGCUGGAAAAAGCUCUUACAGCUACGAGAAGGCUUCCAGUAUGGGACAUCCUGACUGGUAAGGAAUCACGGGUGAACUGUCCAUCCUGUCACACCGAGCAGAAAGUUUGCUACUGAUUUCAAAGAACUGAGAUUUUUACCCACAGGAAAUCAAGCACGUAUAAAGAUCACCGCCCAGCUCUUCAGCAGCCCUCCAUCCAGAGGAUGAGUCAUCUGCCAAGGGCACUGGUGGGAGCUCUAUUCCAAAGAGCAUGCAAAGAAUUAGAGGAACGAAAGGAAUUGCUCUUCUUUCUUCAAGUUCUGACAGAAACACAGUUUAGAGGAAACUAAUACAGGAUGAGUACAAAAUGGUUAUGAAGUCAUUCACCAGAAGCACUGAUCGACAGAGAAUUGUUGAAAUUGAAGGCUGUAUAAGAGCUGUCUGGGCUGCAACGCAAUGACCACACAUUGGGAGCGCGCUGCAACUCACUGGGAGCUAACAGACGGAAUUGCUGCAGGCAGCAGGGUGCCUUCUGGGUCCCCAGGAGAUGAUCAUUCCCGAAGGGGCUUCUAAGCUAAGGAGGCAGCAUCCGGACCGGAGCAGGAGCAGAGGACACCGUGCUGACACAGCCGCGUCUCCCCAGCCGCAAAUAGGCGCGCUGCGUGCCUCAAACCACUUCCAUUUGUAUCUGCGCAGACGGAUGUCAGAGAUAUUGAGCAACGUCUCUCUGUGCCCUUCAGUACGCAAAUCAACCCCGUUUCUCUUCCCGGAAUUUCCCCUAGAGCGGUUAUUAAUUAGAGACAGAGAAGCAGCAUUGGCUUAUCUAUUAAAACGAUGAAAU
rnacentral:lncRNA from 7 species